AUAAGGGUCAUUCAUAGGAUGAAUAGGUUGGUAAGAAUCCAUGUCAUACAUAUUUUCUCUGUAAUUAUCAAAAGAUGAACAAACAUUAGCACUAUGGCCAUAAAUACCACAAAUACCACAUACUUCAUUAUUUGGUGAGUUUUUUGUUGAAGUAAGUAUAUUAAUUUGCUCCUAACAUCUCAAAGAUAUUAUAAACCUCAUCAGGUGUCCUUUCUAAUAUAGCACCCCC
rnacentral:lncRNA from 1 species